rnacentral:rRNA from 1 species
UGGAUUAGGCAUGCAAGUCGAGCGAGAACCCGCAAGGGGGACAGCGGCGAACGGGGUAGGACAACGUAGGUGACGUACCCUCAGGGCGAGGACAGCCACGGGAAACUGUGGGUAAUACUCGAUAAUGUUCCCAAUCGUGAUGGAAGGGGAACCAAUGGGUGAGAUUCCACCUGAGGAGCGGCUUACGCAGUAUCAGCUAGUUGGUGAGGUAACGGCUCACCAAGGCUAUGACGCUUAGGGGAUGUGAGAGCAUGAUCCCCACCACUGGCACUGAGACACUGGCCAGACACCUACGGGUGGCUGCAGUCGAGAAUCUUCGGCAAUGGACGCAAGUCUGACCGAGCGACGCCGCGUGCGGGAUGAAGGCCCUCGGGUUGUAAACCGC